rnacentral:rRNA from 1 species
UUACGUGGGACGUAAAGCGCAUGCAGGUGGUUUAGUUAAGUCAGAUGUAGAAACGGCCCGGGGCUACAACCGUACGGUAAUUGCUAUUUAGAAACGUGGACAAACUAGAGUACUGUAGAGGGGGUAGAAUUUCAGGUGUAGCGGUGAAAUGCGUAGAGAUCUGAAGGAAUACCGGUGGCGAAGGCGGCCCCCUGGACAGAUACUGACACUCAGAUGCGAAAGCGUGGGGAGCAAACAGGAUUAGAUACCCUGGUAG